CCAAAAUCUGAAGAAAAGAUUUUAACAAAAAUGACAAAGAAUAAAUAUAUUAUGUAAUAAUAUGUUUAAAUGCUGGGAUGAAAUGUAAAAGAAUAGUAUAUAUACUUGGAAAAAAAAUCAAGAAUUUAUCAAAUACAUUAACCCUAUUUACAAAAGCAAGAAAAUAUUGCAAUAUUGCAAAAAUUAAUAAUUGUAUUUAGGUGUGUCAAAAUAUCACGUUAAUAGCAAUUAAUAAUUACAGUGCUUUAUUUUAUUUUUAGUGCACUAAUUUCAUUUUUGCAUCGGUUGCUUCUAUGAAGUUUGUUCAUGUCUGAUAAUUCACAGAUCAUAGGGCAUUAUCCAGCUUAUGCCACGGUCAUUUACCAAAAAAAAUAAAUAAAUAAAUUCAAUCAAUUAUUAGAACUUCAAACGCUUAAAGAUAUAACUGUAUUUAAGUUCUAAUACAACAUAUCUGAUUGUAUCAGAAAUUCAAUAUGGAUAUAUUUUCUGCUUAAAUAAUUAUAUUUACAAAAAGCGGAGUACAUAAAACACGGUGUGUCAUGUUGUCAUGGUAACGGCUGUAGUCCCCGUAGAGACCUCAUUCUGCUAUCGCUCUUUCCUCUCUGAGGCAAAUGGUCAUUUUAAGAAGUUAAACAAACCAUCAUUUCAGAGUGUUCAAAAUGAUCAAAUUCAUCAAACGGGUUGAAGAGGAAUCUGCUGACACUCAUCCUUCCUAAAUGGACCGACUCCUAAUUCUCUAAUAAAACGACCUUUUAUUUCUAUCGUCA